UUCUUAAGUCAGUUAAACCUUUCUCUUCUUUAAAUUUAUAUUUUUAAUAUGUUUUUUUUUCCAUGGAUUUCUAAAAUGAGAUUUUCAGAUUUGUUAUUUCCCGUGGCAGGAGAAAACCUGGUGUGCAGAAUGAAGUCAUGACAGAUGGAACGGACCAAGCUAUAGUAAGCAUGUAUGAUGUGAAGAGCCUUUCAAGAACUUUUGGAUAAUCUACCUUCCGCUGAAGAAGAGGAUCGAUCGUAUGGGAAAAGCACCUGCAACAAGUAGUUACACUCUCCUAUUGAAAUGAGACCCUUGAUACUGAGAUCGGUUUCUGAUGGCUUCUGGUUUGCAAAUCUCUCCCACAAGAGAUUCAUCCCAGCAAAGUGACCUGAUCUGACCUAUUACAUCUGCUCAUCUCUGCAAUAAAUCCUAUCUAGCUUCCUCCUCAAAUACUUGCAUCUUCCCUCCCCAGGCCAGAGAGUUCACUCUUGUAGACUCACUGAUCAGAAGGCCAUCCUGCAUUUGUAUCAAUCUCUCAGAAUUUCAGGAUACUCCUUUGAUAUUAUGUAACUGCCUUUCAUCAAAAUUAUUGCCAAAAAUCUCUCCCCUUCCUGAAGAACUUUCAUCUGAAAUGCAGAGAAAACACGUGUUUCUAAUUCCAACCAUGAAUCUACUCUAACUUUUGGAUCCCUCUUCUGCUGAACUGAAAUAAAGAAUCGAGCUGUUUUGAAAAAGUGCCUAGC
rnacentral:lncRNA from 1 species